UACGGAGGGUGCGAGCGUUGUCCGGAAUUACUGGGUUUAAAGGGUGCGUAGGCGGCCAAGUAAGUCAGGAGUGAAAGUUUGCGGCUCAACCGUAAAAUUGCUUUUGAUACUGCUUAGCUAGAAUCAGGAUGAGGUUAGCGGAAUGUGGCAUGUAGCGGUGAAAUGCAUAGAUAUGCCAUAGAACACCAAUUGCGAAGGCAGCUGGCUAGACCUGUAUUGACGCUGAGGCACGAAAGCGUGGGGAGCGAACAGG
rnacentral:rRNA from 1 species